UACGGAGGGGACUAGCGUUGUUCGGAAUUACUGGGCGUAAAGCGCACGUAGGCGGAUUUGUAAGUCAGGGGUGAAAUCCCGAGGCUCAACCUCGGAACUGCCUUUGAUACUGCGAAUCUCGAGUCCGGAAGAGGUGAGUGGAAUUCCUAGUGUAGAGGUGAAAUCCGUAGAUAUUAGGAGGAACACCAGAGGCGAAGGCGACUAUCUGGGCCAUUACUGACGCUAAGGUACGAAAGCGUGGGGAGCAAACAGG
rnacentral:rRNA from 1 species